rnacentral:rRNA from 1 species
UUUAUGGAGAGUUUGAUCCUGGCUCAGAGUGAACGCUGGCGGCGUGCCUAAUACAUGCAAGUCGAACGAUGAAGCUUCUAGCUUGCUAGAGUGCUGAUUAGUGGCGCACGGGUGAGUAACGCAUAGGUCAUGUGCCUCUUAGUUUGGGAUAGCCAUUGGAAACGAUGAUUAAUACCAGAUACUCCCUACGGGGGAAAGAUUUAUCGCUAAGAGAUCAGCCUAUGUCCUAUCAGCUUGUUGGUAAGGUAAUGGCUUACCAAGGCUAUGACGGGUAUCCGGCCUGAGAGGGUGAACGGACACACUGGAACUGAGACACGGUCCAGACUCCUACGGGAGGCAGCAGUAGGGAAUAUUGCUCAAUGGGGGAAACCCUGAAGCAGCAACGCCGCGUGGAGGAUGAAGGUUUUAGGAUUGUAAACUCCUUUUGUUAGAGAAGAUAAUGACGGUAUCUAACGAAUAAGCACCGGCUAACUCCGUGCCAGCAGCCGCGGUAAUACGGAGGGUGCAAGCGUUACUCGGAAUCACUGGGCGUAAAGAGCGCGUAGGCGGGAUAGUCAGUCAGGUGUGAAAUCCUAUGGCUUAACCAUAGAACUGCAUUUGAAACUACUAUUCUAGAGUGUGGGAGAGGUAGGUGGAAUUCUUGGUGUAGGGGUAAAAUCCGUAGAGAUCAAGAGGAAUACUCAUUGCGAAGGCGACCUGCUGGAACAUUACUGACGCUGAUUGCGCGAAAGCGUGGGGAGCAAACAGGAUUAGAUACCCUGGUAGUCCACGCCCUAAACGAUGGAUGCUAGUUGUUGGAGGGCUUAGUCUCUCCAGUAAUGUAGCUAACGCAUUAAGCAUCCCGCCUGGGGAGUACGGUCGCAAGAUUAAAACUCAAAGGAAUAGACGGGGACCCGCACAAGCGGUGGAGCAUGUGGUUUAAUUCGAAGAUACACGAAGAACCUUACCUAGGCUUGACAUUGAGAGAAUCCGCUAGAAAUAGUGGAGUGUCUGGCUUGCUAGACCUUGAAAACAGGUGCUGCACGGCUGUCGUCAGCUCGUGUCGUGAGAUGUUGGGUUAAGUCCCGCAACGAGCGCAACCCCCUUUCUUAGUUGCUAACAGGUCAUGCUGAGAACUCUAAGGAUACUGCCUCCGUAAGGAGGAGGAAGGUGGGGACGACGUCAAGUCAUCAUGGCCCUUACGCCUAGGGCUACACACGUGCUACAAUGGGGUGCACAAAGAGAAGCAAUACUGCGAAGUGGAGCCAAUCUUCAAAACGCCUCUCAGUUCGGAUUGUAGGCUGCAACUCGCCUGCAUGAAGCUGGAAUCGCUAGUAAUCGCAAAUCAGCCAUGUUGCGGUGAAUACGUUCCCGGGUCUUGUACUCACCGCCCGUCACACCAUGGGAGUUGUGUUUGCCUUAAGUCAGGAUGCUAAAUUGGCUACUGCCCACGGCACACACAGCGACUGGGGUGAAGUCGUAACAAGGUAACCGUAGGUGAACCUGCGGUUGGAUCACCUCCUUU